UAAACAAGUUUACAAAGAACAUCAUUAGCCACCUCCAGAUAUAAGUAACCGUUCUUAUUUUGCCCGAAUCGGGUGUAUCCUCUGAACCUGCACAAACAUAUUCCAUUACAGUUAAACUUUGCGUUGAUCUGAUUUCUGAUUUACAUAUCAUAAUAUUUAGAUUCCUCUCUUUUACCUUUUGAAGCCUUUGGCUUUUCAUGGGCCAUCCAAGCAACAUCCACGACUUUGUCCACCAUUGGUGAAUCAUACUCUGAUGAGUCAGUAGGAUAUGAUAUAGCAGUGCCCCUAAUCUGAAAGUAACAUCAGGUAGUAAGUAGUCUGAAAUGCAUACUGUGAUUUUCACUUCCGUACAAAAAAAAUUCUUACAUCUUCACAAACAGGAGUCAGCUUGGGAACACGAAGCUCUCUAUUUACUUUUGGAGAAGCCAUCUCUUCCACUUCAGACCCUGAUUCUGCUGUCGAGGUGUCACUAGCUUUUAU
rnacentral:lncRNA from 1 species